GACGUAGGGCGCGAGCGUUGUCCGGAUUUACUGGGCGUAAAGCGCACGUAGGCGGAUCGUUAAGUCGGGGGUGAAAUCCUGGAGCUCAACUCCAGAACUGCCUUCGAUACUGGCGAUCUUGAGUCCGGAAGAGGUGAGUGGAACUCCUAGUGUAGAGGUGGAAUUCGUAGAUAUUAGGAAGAACACCAGUGGCGAAGGCGGCUCACUGGUCCGGGUACUGACGCUGAGGUGCGAAAGCGUGGGGAGCAAACAGG
rnacentral:rRNA from 1 species